CACUAUCGUUAACUGAAUACAUAGGUUAACGAGGCGAACCGGGGGAACUGAAACAUCUAAGUACCCCGAGGAAAAGAAAUCAACCGAGAUUCCCCCAGUAGCGGCGAGCGAACGGGGAGCAGCCCAGAGUCUGAAUCAGCUUGUGUGUUAGUGGAACGGUCUGGAAAGUCCGACGGUACAGGGUGAUAGUCCCGUACACCAAAAUGCACAGGCUGUGAACUCGAAGAGUAGGGCGGGACACGUGGUAUCCUGUCUGAAUAUGGGGGGACCAUCCUCCAAGGCUAAAUACUCCUGACUGACCGAUAGUGAACCAGUACCGUGAGGGAAAGGCGAAAAGAACCCCGGCGAGGGGAGUGAAAAAGAACCUGAAACCGUGUACGUACAAGCAGUGGGAGCACCUUCGGGUGUGACUGCGUACCUUUUGUAUAAUGGGUCAGCGACUUAUAUUCUGUAGCAAGGUUAACCGUAUAGGGGAGCCGCAGGGAAACCGAGUCUUAACUGGGCGUUAAGUUGCAGGGUAUAGACCCGAAACCCGGUGAUCUAGCCAUGGGCAGGUUGAAGGUUGGGUAACACUAACUGGAGGACCGAACCGACUAAUGUUGAAAAAUUAGCGGAUGACUUGUGGCUGGGGGUGAAAGGCCAAUCAAACCGGGAGAUAGCUGGUUCUCCCCGAAAGCUAUUUAGGUAGCGCCUCGUGAACUCAUCUUCGGGGGUAGAGCACUGUUUCGGCUAGGGGGUCAUCCCGACUUACCAACCCGAUGCAAACUACGAAUACCGAAGAAUGUUAUCACGGGAGACACACGGCGGGUGCUAACGUCCGUCGUGAAGAGGGAAACAACCCAGACCGCCAGCUAAGGUCCCAAAGUCAUGGUUAAGUGGGAAACGAUGUGGGAAGGCACAGACAGCCAGGAUGUUGGCUUAGAAGCAGCCAUCAUUUAAAGAAAGCGUAAUAGCUCACUGGUCGAGUCGGCCUGCGCGGAAGAUGUAACGGGGCUAAACCAUGCACCGAAGCUGCGGCAGCGACACUAUGUGUUGUUGGGUAGGGGAGCGUUCUGUAAGCCUGCGAAGGUGACCUGUGAGGGUUGCUGGAGGUAUCAGAAGUGCGAAUGCUGACAUAAGUAACGAUAAAGCGGGUGAAAAGCCCGCUCGCCGGAAGACCAAGGGUUCCUGUCCAACGUUAAUCGGGGCAGGGUGAGUCGACCCCUAAGGCGAGGCCGAAAGGCGUAGUCGAUGGGAAACAGGUUAAUAUUCCUGUACUUGGUGUUACUGCGAAGGGGGGACGGAGAAGGCUAUGUUAGCCGGGCGACGGUUGUCCCGGUUUAAGCAUGUAGGCUGGUUAUCCAGGCAAAUCCGGAUAAUCAAGGCUGAGGUGUGAUGACGAGGCACUACGGUGCUGAAGUAACAAAUGCCCUGCUUCCAGGAAAAGCCUCUAAGCAUCAGGUAACAUCAAAUCGUACCCCAAACCGACACAGGUGGUCAGGUAGAGAAUACCAAGGCGCUUGAGAGAACUCGGGUGAAGGAACUAGGCAAAAUGGUGCCGUAACUUCGGGAGAAGGCACGCUGGUGUGUAGGUGAAGUCCCUGCGGAUGGAGCUGAGACCAGUCGAAGAUACCAGCUGGCUGCAACUGUUUAUUAAAAACACAGCACUGUGCAAACACGAAAGUGGACGUAUACGGUGUGACGCCUGCCCGGUGCCGGAAGGUUAAUUGAUGGGGUUAUCCGUAAGGAGAAGCUCUUGAUCGAAGCCCCGGUAAACGGCGGCCGUAACUAUAACGGUCCUAAGGUAGCGAAAUUCCUUGUCGGGUAAGUUCCGACCUGCACGAAUGGCGUAAUGAUGGCCAGGCUGUCUCCACCCGAGACUCAGUGAAAUUGAACUCGCUGUGAAGAUGCAGUGUACCCGCGGCAAGACGGAAAGACCCCGUGAACCUUUACUAUAGCUUGACACUGAACAUUGAGCCUUGAUGUGUAGGAUAGGUGGGAGGCUUUGAAGCGUGGACGCCAGUCUGCGUGGAGCCAACCUUGAAAUACCACCCUUUAAUGUUUGAUGUUCUAACGUUGGCCCCUGACCGGGGUUGCGGACAGUGUCUGGUGGGUAGUUUGACUGGGGCGGUCUCCUCCCAAAGCGUAACGGAGGAGCACGAAGGUUAGCUAAUCCUGGUCGGACAUCAGGAGGUUAGUGCAAUGGCAUAAGCUAGCUUGACUGCGAGCGUGACGGCGCGAGCAGGUGCGAAAGCAGGUCAUAGUGAUCCGGUGGUUCUGAAUGGAAGGGCCAUCGCUCAACGGAUAAAAGGUACUCCGGGGAUAACAGGCUGAUACCGCCCAAGAGUUCAUAUCGACGGCGGUGUUUGGCACCUCGAUGUCGGCUCAUCACAUCCUGGGGCUGAAGUAGGUCCCAAGGGUAUGGCUGUUCGCCAUUUAAAGUGGUACGCGAGCUGGGUUUAGAACGUCGUGAGACAGUUCGGUCCCUAUCUGCCGUGGGCGCUGGAGAAUUGAGGGGGGCUGCUCCUAGUACGAGAGGACCGGAGUGGACGCAUCACUGGUGUUCGGGUUGUCAUGCCAAUGGCACUGCCCGGUAGCUAAAUGCGGAAGAGAUAAGUGCUGAAAGCAUCUAAGCACGAAACUUGCCCCGAGAUGAGUUCUCCCUGAGACUUUAAGUCUCCUGAAGGAACGUUGAAGACGACGACGUUGAUAGGCCGGGUGUGUAAGCGCAGCGAUGCGUUGAGCUAACCGGUACUAAUGAACCGUGAGGCUUAACCUUACAACGCCGAAG
rnacentral:rRNA from 1 species